AUUGAACGCUGGCGGCAUGCCUUACACAUGCAAGUCGAACGGCAGCACGGGUGCUUGCACCUGGUGGCGAGUGGCGAACGGGUGAGUAAUACAUCGGAACGUACCUUAUCGUGGGGGAUAACGCAGCGAAAGCUGUGCUAAUACCGCAUACGCCCUGAGGGGGAAAGCGGGGGAUCGCAAGACCUCGCGCGAUUAGAGCGGCCGAUGCCUGAUUAGCUUGUUGGUGGGGUAAAAGCCCACCAAGGCGACGAUCAGUAGCUGGUCUGAGAGGGAGAUCAGCCACACUGGGAGUGAGACACGGCCCAGACUCCGACGGGAGGCAGCAGUGGGGAAUUUUGGACAAUGGGGGCAACCCUGAUCCAGCAAUGCCACGUGAGUGAAGAAGGGCUUCGGGUUGUAAAGCUCUUUUGUCAGGGAAGAAACACCGGCUCUAACACAGUCCGGGAAUGACGGUACCUGAAGAAUAAGCACCGGCUAACUACGUGCCAGCCGCCGCAGUAA
rnacentral:rRNA from 1 species